GGAAGAGGAGGAAGGAAGGAAGGAAAUGGAAGACCGAGUACAUGAGAGAGUUAAGGCUGCCUGCUCCGUCCUCACGUCUAAUUUACUGCUAACAAUGUAGUUGAGGAUGCUGGGUCUUAUGCCAUUCAGUUUGGAGAUGGAACCAACUUGGAAUAGAUGCUUUCUGUAUCAGUUGAACUUCUAGUGUUAAAAACAAUGGUAAGGUGCUGGACAGCCUAGUAUUUUAAUUUUUCACUGUCAAUAUGAUGUUGGUAUAUUAGAGUUCUGCUUCCUAUGUUUCCUAACUCUGAGCUGGUGGCCAUAUUAUCUAUCUAGGCCUUGGAAGACAUUCACACUCCCUGCUUACUGUACCGGAUGUCCUCGGUGUCCGCACUGUUUACAUUUAGGACUGUGUGACUCACUCUUGUGGGGCUGUGCACUGUGUGCUGUUCAGCUGCACCCCCGUCUCUCACUCCCUAGAUGCCAGUAGCUCCUCUCCAGUCGUGGUAACAAAAGAUGCCUCCAAGCAUUGCCCACUGAGCCCGGGAGCAGGUGGGACAGCCAAACUCUAGAUCAGAGCCAGAGGUUCCUAUCCCGGCAUCCCUCUGUGCAGGCCGUUCAUCUCCAGCCUGUACUGAGGCACCGCUCGCAUUAUUGUGGGAGAAGGUGACAUUUUACCGUCAUUGCAGAGCUGAUCAGGUGUGUGGCCCUUUUGUGCAGUGCUGAGUUUCAUGUUCCCCACACAGCCUUAGAAGCUCAGGCCUGGAAGCUGCAACCUCUAUGUAGGAUUUCAAUGUGAGUUUCUCAUUCCCUGCUCUUCUUAGGACAAUGGUUGAUCACUUAAUGUACCUCUGUCACUGUCAACAAAAUCCAACUUUAUGAUAGAUUUUGUUUUUUUGUGUGUGUGGGUUUUUUUUGUUUUUUGGGGUUUUUUUUGUUUGUUUGUUUGUUUGUUUUCGGAGCUGAGGAUCGAACCCAGGGCCUUGCGCUUGCUAGGCAAGUGCUCUACUACUGAGCUAAAUCCCCAACCCCGAUAGAUUUUGUUUUAUUUCUAAAGCUUAGUAUUUGGAUUAUACUUCAGAAAAGGUAUCUUCCUCGACAGAUGUUUUCUGCUGACCGUGUCAGUCAUUAAGUCUAGACCGUGCUGUAUUGAGUAGCUCACGCCUAGAAGUUAGCUGCUGUAGGUGUCCAAUACAAGUGACCAGAGGGUGCUGUCCCUGACCGCUCAGUAACUUGGGAUGCUUCCUGGGGUUGCCCUAAAUGUGGCUCUGGAGUGAGUUUCUUGUUGAAUAGGUGUUUGUCAGGGGUCUGAAAGCAGAAGAGGGAGCAAUGGAAACAAUUCUAUCAUUGGCUCAGAGUUGGUGACAUGGAAAAUGGGGGAAUCUUUUACCUAGGUUGUUCUAGAGGUUAAAAAAAAAAGCUAGCCUAGAAAGUUUGCAUUUAAUCAUCCCAGUAGUAGUUCACAGUUCACUGAGACCAUAAACAACAAUACAUGGGUAAAGGGAGAAAACCUGUCCUUCCCACAGUCAGCCUCAGACACGCUUGUCCUUUAUGUGGAGCCAUAAUGAGUCUGUGGAUAAUGAAGCGACCUCCAAUGCAGCAGAGAGGCGGGCUGUUUGGGACAGCUGCCUAGACCACAGUCUUUCAUCUCCACCUAGUGUGAAAGGUAGGAAAGCCUAAGACACAUGGGAAUUAAAGCAGUUUACACUAGCAGUCACUCAACUGUUCACUUCCGUGUUUGUGGAUCAGUGCCUGCCUUUUACUCAUCACUAACUGUAAGGAAGCAAGCAGAGGGAAAACUAUAGGCCUGUAGCCUAAUAGAAAUCGGUUCACUGAACACGUGAGGAAUUCUGAUCAAUUCUCAUUGAUUUGCCAUAUUGGGCAGAUUAGAGAACCCAGACAACCAAAUUAUGUGACAAAGAUUUAACAAGGAAAAUAGACUAUUUUGAAAUAGAUUUGCACUUUAAAAUUCUGAGUGUGGCUCAUGGGCAAGUACUUCCAAAGGGCCGAGCCUGCACACACAUGUCCAGACUUCAGCCUUUGUCCACACACGCUGCAGUAGCUGUCUGUCUUCAUGGUCACUUAGGAUGUCUGCCUGGGUUGUGUCCAAGGUUGUCGUCCCUCUGGGAGGGUUUAAAAUAGCUUUUCAAUUCAGAAUAGAAACUUUGGUUUGGUUUGAAUUAGUUUGGUUUUCGUUUUUCAAGACAGGGUUUCCCAGGCUGUCGUAGAACUCACUCUGUAGACCAGGCUGGCCUCAGAUGCCGAGAUCCACCUGCCUCUGCCUCCCCAGUGCUGGAGUUAAAGACGUGCACCACCACUGCCUGGCCCACAUCUCAAUUUGACAUUUUCAUUACAUUACCAUUCAUUACAUGGUAGGCCUCCAAUCAGUGGGAGACGCUGCCUAUGACACUGUUGCCAAGUGGCCAGUGGAGAGCAGAAGGGACAAGCAGUCUACCAGCCUCUCCCACGUUGUUCUUCAUGGCAGGAGCAUCAUUCUAAAGCUUUGGCUUCCAGAACCACGUUCAUUCUGAAGAGCAUUUUAACAUCUGCUAAUGCUUUGGUAAUAAUCUUUUAUACAUGGGAGUUUUGUAGCAUGACUUUAGGACUAAACUUAUUGUGCAUUAAAUUAUUUAGUAAUAUUGAGUUUCUGAAUGUUAUUUUGUGAAACUUGUUUUAAAAUAGUAAUAAAUCAUGUUAUUUUAUAAA
rnacentral:lncRNA from 1 species